GUCGACGAUGACGGUGGUGCUUGCACCACCUGAUUAGUGGCGAACGGGUGAGUAACACGUGAGUAACCUGCCCCCCACUUCGGGAUAACCUCGGGAAAUCGUGGCUAAUACCGGAUACGAGCACUCAUCGCAUGGUGGGUGCUGGAAAGAUUUAUCGGUGGGGGAUGGACUCGCGGCCUAUCAGUUUGUUGGUGAGGUGAUGGCUCACCAAGACGAUGACGGGUAGCCGGCCUGAGAGGGCGACCGGCCACACUGGGACUGAGACACGGCCCAGACUCCUACGGGAGGCAGCAGUGGGGAAUAUUGCACAAUGGGCGAAAGCCUGAUGCAGCGACGCCGCGUGGGGGAUGACGGCCUUCGGGUUGUAAACCCCUUUCAGUAGGGAAGAAGCGAGAGUGACGGUACCUGCAGAAGAAGCGCCGGCUAACUACGUGCCAGCAGCCGCGGUAAUACGUAGGGCGCAAGCGUUGUCCGGAAUUAUUGGGCGUAAAGAGCUUGUAGGUGGCUUGUCGCGUCUGCCGUGAAAACCCGAGGCUCAACCUCGGGCGUGCGGUGGGUACGGGCAGGCUAGAGUGUGGUAGGGGAGACUGGAACUCCUGGUGUAGCGGUGAAAUGCGCAGAUAUCAGGAAGAACACCGAUGGCGAAGGCAGGUCUCUGGGCCAUUACUGACACUGAGAAGCGAAAGCAUGGGUAGCGAACAGGAUUAGAUACCCUGGU
rnacentral:rRNA from 1 species